rnacentral:rRNA from 1 species
UACGUAGGGUGCAAGCGUUGUCCGGAAUUAUUGGGCGUAAAGAGCUCGUAGGCGGUCUGUCACGUCGGCUGUGAAAACUCGGGGCUCAACCCCGAGCCUGCAGUCGAUACGGGCAGACUAGAGUCCGGCAGGGGAGACUGGAAUUCCUGGUGUAGCGGUGAAAUGCGCAGAUAUCAGGAGGAACACCGGUAGCAAAGGCGGGUCUCUGGACCGGAACUGACGCUGAGGAGCGAAAGCGUGGGGAGCGAACAGG